rnacentral:rRNA from 1 species
AGCAGCCGCGGUAAUUCCAGCUCCAAUAGCGUAAAUUAAAGUUGUUGCAGUUAAAAGCUCGUAGUUGAAUUUCGGGAUUGGCGCAUCGGUCGUGCCUCACGGGGUAUGAACUGGUGCAGUCAAUUUCUCACCUUCUGGAGAACCGCGAUGUCCUUAAUUGGAUGCCGCGGGGAACCAGGACCUUUACUUUGAAAAAUUAGAGUGUUUAAAGCAGGCAUUUUUGCUUGAAUACAUUAGCAUGGAAUAAUAAAUAGGACGGCAUGGUUCUAUUUUGUUGGUUUCUAGGACCACCGUAAUGAUUAAUAGAGAUAGUUGGGGGCAUUAGUAUUCAAUUGUCAGAGGUGAAAUUCUUGGAUUUAUUGAAGACUAACUACUGCGAAAGCAUUUGCCAAGGAUGUUUUCAUUAAUCAAGAACGAAAGUUAGGGGAUCGAAGACGAUCAGAUACCGUCGUAGUCCUAACCAUAAACUAUGCCGACUAGGAAUCAGACGAUGUUAAUUUUUAAUGACUCG